CAUGGCAACACCAGCUAUGCCUUUGGGCAAGCCAAAGUCUCCUCCCCGCUUCUUCCUCCCUCUCCUCCAUCCAUCUCCACUAGCUAAAAGGUCAAAGAAACAGACAGGAAGGAAGUGUUCAGAAAGGAGGAGAGCACUUGUCCUGAAUUUGUGCUCAAGACAGAGCCAGGUGAGGCUGCUGCUGUUACUGUGGGUAUGAUAAGGAGAUCUGUCCUCAUCUGCUGAGGUCAUGCCUUCUCUCCCCUGUCCAUCAUCCCAGGAUAAUUCCCCUCAAGCAAGAAAUGAAACAGAUCAGAGACCCAAAGACCAGAGAGUUGACUUCCUGGACCAACAGAUGACAACAGCUGGGGCCAUGGUAGAACAUCUUGAAGAAGCACAGAGGAACCCUAUGUGCCCACCCACCUGGCCCCAGAGGGGCAUCCAUGCGUGAGGUCAUCUCUGAACCAAAACUACCUAGUUAAAGGAAAGGGAUUUCUUAGGCUGACAUCUUGGAAAUUUAGUUUUCUAGCAAGACAAGAAAGAGCUUUUGUACAGAACUAGCCUCCACGAUCAUCUUGAGAAAUGUUCAAGAGUUUGAUCUGAUCUCCUAUGUAGCAUUCCUCUUAGAUAUAGAAAAGGAACACUCAUGCUCUGAUGCUGGAGGUACAAAAAGGGACUAAAGCCAUGACAUGGGGAAAUAGAGGACCUGGAUAUUAUCCUCUAUUACCAGGAGUUAUUUAGACAAUGUAAGUAAAAGGGUUGCUUGUACAUUAGCCCCAAAGGUUGUUUGCUUUCUGGGAGAAAGCCAAACUGAGGAGUCUUGGAGGGAGUGGGCAGGAUCUAGGGAUACACCAAAGGUUGGAUUGUUAUCCCAUUGGCAACCCAAGUUUAGUUCCCUUCUGAGGAAAGUAUGAACCACGGGGAUGGUGCUAAACCAGGACUUUAGGACCUUGGAAGAGAAAUGGGCUUGCUGGGGUGGGGGAAUUGUGUUGAUUGUUUAUGGGUUAUUGUGAAUCCUUUACAGGUUAUCUGUGGUUUUUUUAUGGGCUCCUGUGGUCCUUUGUAUCUUCUGCUUUUGCUGUAGAGUGAAAUAAAAGCUGCCCUGUAUUUAACA
rnacentral:lncRNA from 1 species